rnacentral:rRNA from 1 species
AACGAACGCUGGCGGCAGGCUUAACACAUGCAAGUCGAACGCAUCCUUCGGGGUGAGUGGCAGACGGGUGAGUAACGCGUGGGAACGUGCCCUUCAGUUCGGGAUAACCCAGGGAAACUUGGGCUAAUACCGGAUACGUGCGAGAGCAGAAAGAUUUAUCGCUGAAGGAUCGGCCCGCGUCUGAUUAGCUAGUUGGUGGGGUAAUGGCCCACCAAGGCGACGAUCAGUAGCUGGUCUGAGAGGAUGAUCAGCCACAUUGGGACUGAGACACGGCCCAAACUCCUACGGGAGGCAGCAGUGGGGAAUAUUGGACAAUGGGCGCAAGCCUGAUCCAGCCAUGCCGCGUGAGUGAUGAAGGCCUUAGGGUUGUAAAGCUCUUUCGUCCGGGACGAUAAUGACGGUACCGGAAGAAGAAGCCCCGGCUAACUUCGUGCCAGCCGCCGCAGUAAAAC